rnacentral:rRNA from 1 species
GAUUAAGCUACUAAGAGCGUAGGGUGGAUGCCUUGGCACCAGGCGCCGAUGAAGGACGUGAUAAGCUGCGAAAAGCCGCGGGGAAGUGCAAAUGACUUUUGAUCCGCGGAUGUCCGAAUGAGGGAACUCAGCAUGGAGAAAUUCAUGUUAUCCGAAAGGAAGGGAACCCGGGGAACUGAAACAUCUUAGUACCCGGAGGAAGAGAAAGUAAACUAACGAUUUUCUGAGUAGUGGUGAGCGAAAGGGAAAGAGCCUAAACCGAUUAAUAGUGAUAUUAAAAGGGGUUGUAGGGAUACCGAUGUGGCAUUAUUGAUACGAGCGGAAGACGGUUGGAAAGCCGAGCCGAAGAGAGUAACAGCCUCGUAUGCGAAGUAGAGAUAAGCCUAGGUAUUACCUGAGUACCACAGGACACGAGGAAUCCGGUGGGAAUCCGGGAGGACCAUCUCCUAAGGCUAAAUACGACCUGGUGACCGAUAGAGUAUAGUACCGUGAGGGAAAGGUGAAAAGCACCCCGGGAGGGGAGUGAAAGAGAACCUGAAACCCUAUGCUUACAAGCAGACAUAGCCCGCGAGGGUGGUGUCGUACUUUUUGUAGAACGGGCCGGCGAGUUACGAUGUGUAGCGAGGUUAAGGUAUUAAGUACCGGAGCCGCAGCGAAAGCGAGUUUGAACAGAGCGACGAGUUGCAUGUCGUAGACCCGAAACCGAUUGACCUAGCCAUGAGCAGGCUGAAGCAGUGGUAAGACACUGUGGAGGGCCGAACACACGUUCGUUGAAAUGACCGGUGAUGACUUGUGGCUAGCGGAGAAAUUCCAAACGAAAUCGGAUAUAGCUGGUUCUCCUCGAAAUAGCUUUAGGGCUAGCCUCCGUAGAGAGUACCGAAGGUAGAGCACUGAAUAGCCUAGGGGGUUUCACGACUUACCGAAGCUUAUCAAACUUCGAAUGACGGAUACUUGAUUACGGGGAGUCAGACAGCGAGAGAUAAGUUCCGUUGUCAAAAGGGAAACAGCCCAGAUCUACAACUAAGGUCCCCAAGUUACGGUUAAGUGGUAAAGGAUGUUUCACUGCUAAAACAACCAGGAUGUUGGCUUAGAAGCAGCCACUCAUUCAAAGAGUGCGUAAUAGCUCACUGGUCGAGUGGUGGAGCGCCGAAGAUUAUCGGGGCUAAAACCGUACACCGAAGUUUAGGGAUGUGCGUACGCACAUCGGUAGAGGAGCAAUGUAUAAGGGCAGAAGCCGUAGUGGAAGCAACGGUGGACUUUAUACAAGAGAGAAUGCCGGCAUAAGUAGCGAGAAUGGAGUGAGAAACUCUAUCGUCGAAAGUCUGAGGUUUCCCGGGGAAGGUUCGUCCGCCCGGGGUUAGUCGGGGACUAAGGAGAGGCCGAAAGGCGUAUCUGAUGGACAACAGGUAGAUAUUCCUGUACCACCCUAGUCGUUUAAAUGAAGCAGUGACACAGAAGGAUAGUCCUGGCGCGGUGAUGGAUAGCCGCGCACAAAUCGUGAAGCCGGUAAGCAGUGAAGUACACUUACCGAUAAGGCCGGGCGAUGAUGUGGAGUGAAAACUAGUAGCGAAGGGGAUGAAUUCACGCUGGCGAGAAAAGCUGCUAAAUAGGCGAAAGGUGCCCGUACCGCAAACCGACACAGGUAGACGGCAAGAAAAUUGCAAGACGAGCGGGAGAACCAUUGUUAAGGAACUCUGCAAAAUGACCCCGUAAC